rnacentral:rRNA from 1 species
CAGUAGCCGCGGGAAUACAGAGGGUGCGAGCGUUAAUCGGAUUUACUGGGCGUAAAGCGUGCGUAGGCGGCUAAUUGAGUCGGAUGUGAAAUCCCCGAGCUUAACUUGGGAAUUGCAUUCGAUACUGGUUAGCUAGAGUGUGGGAGAGGAUGGUAGAAUUCCAGGUGUAGCGGUGAAAUGCGUAGAGAUCUGGAGGAAUACCGAUGGCGAAGGCAGCCAUCUGGCCUAACACUGACGCUGAGGUACGAAAGCAUGGGGAGCAAACAGGAUUAGAUACCCCAGUAGUCCCUGUCUCUUAUCC